UUGGUAAGAUUAUUCCAAACUCUCCGUUAGGUUAGGUUUGGUAUCCUUACCGAUUUAUGCAUGAUUAUUGCUUGAUUGCCUAUUUGUGAAUUCCGUUGAUUGAAUUCUUGUGAUUAAUUUGUAACCUGGAAGCAUAUUUACUUGCAUUAUAUACCUGUGUUUCGUGAACGGAUUAUGUCAUUGUUGUGCUUCAUUUCUAAAGUUGUUUUUUAACUCAGCAUUCAUAUUUUUUAUAUUGAUCAUCUGGAAAAGAAUUUUUCAAAACCUUUUCUGUUUUGUCCACGAGUACAGGCCACUCUUUUACACAAUAUGUAAGGGGUUCGAGGGUCGAAUUAUCGCAAUUCGAUGGAAAGGGGGAUUACUCGAUAUGGAAACAGAAAAUGAGGGCCAUUUUGGUCCAACAAAGAGUUGCUAAAGCUCUCGAUGAUCCCGCUACAUUUUCUGAUGAGGUAAAAGCUAAACCAACUGAAAUUGAAGACAUGAAUGAAAUUGCUUACAGUUUUCCCUACGUUUUUGCAAGACAGGUCUUUUCUCUCUUCUCCAGUCGACCACUCUCUCCAUUUUGCACCUUCUGCUUGGUAGAAGGUUGAGGGUGCGUUGGUAGCAAUUUCUAGCAAGGUUCUUUGCCAGUUUUUCUCUCUCUCUCUUUGGAAGGUGAUUUGCAUGAUAUGGGAGCUGUUCCUGAGCCUAUAAAUCAGCCAUAAGGAAGAGGAGAAGUUGCUGUCCAUUUCGACCGAGAUUGGGUUGUGUUUUUCCAUUUUAUAUUCCUUGAUUUUGCCUUGGAAUCUUUUAUUGAUUGAUGUUUAUUGUUUGAUUGAACACCAAGGAUCCCAACAAACUGGUAUCAGAGCAAGGAGGAGUGAAAUCUGUCCAAAAAUCGAUUGAAACCUCCAAGGAAAUCGCGAUUCCCACUUUUUGGCCGAAUUUGAAACUUCAAAUUCCGGCCAAACUACUGAAUUUUUGGCGAAAUUGACCCUGGACCCAUAACCAGCAGAUGAAGGCGCUCCCUGUGGUGGGGCGCGUGACCGGAGCGGCGACCGGCGGCGCGUGAACUCCGGCGAUGGCGCGUGGCUGGACAUUCCGGUGAGCUUUUUCGGGCAGUUUACUUAAUUCGAUGUCCUGAACGCACUGAUGUCAUUUGUUUUCUGUUUCAGAUUUUACAGGAAAAGUUGGACGAUUUUGCCCCUGACUUGACGUCUACAGCAAUUCGGUUCAGAAACCUGGUGGUAUAUUUACUAUUUUUCAACAGUAGUUUGGUAAGAUUAUUCCAAACUCUCCGUUAGGUUAGGUUUGGUAUCCUUACCGAUUUAUGCAUGAUUAUUGCUUGAUUGCCUAUUUGUGAAUUCCGUUGAUUGAAUUCUUGUGAUUAAUUUGUAACCUGGAAGCAUAUUUACUUGCAUUAUAUACCUGUGUUUCGUGAACGGAUUAUGUCAUUGUUGUGCUUCAUUUCUAAAGUUGUUUUUUAACUCAGCAUUCAUAUUUUUUAUAUUGAUCAUCUGGAAAAGAAUUUUUCAAAA
rnacentral:lncRNA from 1 species